rnacentral:rRNA from 1 species
UAGGGAAUCUUCCACAACGGACGAAAGUCUGAUGGAGCAACGCCGCGUGAGUGAAGAAGGUUUUCGGAUCGUAAAGCUCUGUUGUUGGUGAAGAAGGAUAGAGGCAGUAACUGGUCUUUAUUUGACGGUAAUCAACCAGAAAGUCACGGCUAACUACGUGCCAC